rnacentral:lncRNA from 1 species
AUGAGCGUUCUUGUUUUUAGUGUUUUCUAUUUGCUGGACGGAGAUGCAUGAUUAAUGAAGCGCAUAACUGCAUGAGCGAUCCUUGAUUUUUAGUGUUUUCUGUUUGCUGAACAGGGAUGAGCGAAUAGAAUAUCUGAUAAAUAUUCUAAUGGUUUGCUUUACUAGCUUGGUUUUGAUUGACUAUUAAGCCUGAUGAUGAAGUCCUGAUCAUGAAAAAGAAGAUAACUGGUAGAAAGAAACAGAGAUGUAAUUUUGUUUCCCCAUGAAUCCUUUUGACCUGCUGAUCCUAUUUGGUUUGAGUAGAGGUUUCUUUUAAUCCUUCUAAUGUUUUUUUGGUUUCAGUAGAUGACUCCAUAAAGUUGGAGUUUGUAAUGCAGGUCCACAACCAACAUUCAGGAGGGUCCACAAAUCAACAUUGGUAAACCUGCUCAGCCAUCUCCAUUUUCUAUGCAGACAAAAAAUAUCAAGCCUUAAGUAGUCCCUAAAGAUUCCGUGACCUUAAGUAAUGCCCCUCCAUAUAGGUAGCUCGAUCAAUUUAUGUUCUGUAACACCUGUUUGUACAUGCAAUCUGCUUUCGUCCUGAUGAAACUCACAUAUUUGGUGGAUCAAGUGAUGGAAACCAGGAAAUAUAUCAUUGUUGUUUGUGGCCAUGUUUGAGGCAUUUGGAUUUAUCACUUGACAUAGGUAAAUUUUUUCGAGCUCUUUUGUUUAUGCAUGAUUAGGAAACAUAAUUACAAAUAAUUGUCUGUUGACAAGAGCUAGCAAGUGCUAUCGUAUAUGUUGUUUGUGACAUUCUUUCUUGUGCUUCCGUAUCUUGAUUUUGGAACGGAUAGUUUGCAGCAUAAAAAUAACUUCGGUCAAGGUAAGCACCAUUGGAUAAGACUUAUGGUCUUAAAUAUAAUUUCUGUUCACCAUGCAAUCUUGUUUUCAUAGCUUCAUGAUGGCCUUUUCUAAUUACUACCUGAUAUAAAAAGCAAUCAUUUUAUCGAGGAAUUUUAGACAGGGCGUGAAAAAUAAAAUUUAGGCUGUAAGAGUUCUAUGGCUAUGCCACACACCAUUAAGUGAAUAAAGGGGCAUUUGGAAUUGUAGUAUAUACUCACAAAGGGUUUCGUAUAUUGACAUCAUCAAAUUGAGGUAUGAAGAAAAUGCGUUGUGAUUUCGUUUGUAGAGUUAAUUUUAAUUUGGCUUGUGCGGAUAGUAUUUGUUCUGGUGAUUAUGAAUAUUUCACAGUUGUUACAUGGUUUUUGUUGCUAUGCUGCAUUUUCACAGGAUAAAGUUUCUAAGAAUAAUUUUCCCCAAUAGUGCUUAUGGAUGCUCUUGGUUGGAUGAAUGUGCCAUCGGAAUAUAGCCUCAGCAUACAAGUUUUCACUCACCAUGUUAUGUGCUUGUUAUGUGCUUUCGUUUCUUUGCUUGUGUAAUUUAUUUUUGAAUCCAUGUGUCAGCGUCGUUGUGCGCCUCCUCACCCUCGCCACCGCCGUGUAACCGUGCAGAGAUGGAGAAGGCUUGAUGACGGACCUCUGUUGUCCUUGCCUUCCGCAACUGCCGGUGGAAUCCAUGGCGACAGCGCCGCCGCCAGGCCCUUGCAAGUGUCUAACGCUGCCGGGCACGAGUCCUUGAGGCGCCACACAUGCCGCGCCCACGAAGGCUGCUCCGUCGGAAUCCGCGACGGCCACGACCGGCCAGUGCGAGCCACCGCCGGCACAGUGAUUCUAGAGUCAGUGCCCGUGUUGUACUAUCUCUACGUCUCCCAUAGGCCACAAUAGUACUAAAUGUGCUUUGAGUCUCAUGCUUCUCUGAAUCAUCAUGCGCAUAUGUCCAUAACUGAAUGCAAGUUACAAUUUUGGCAAUUUGUUUGGUUGUUGUCUAUUGCGAGAGAAGGACUCCUAAUAUCCUAAGAAAACACUAAGCAUCUCUGUAGCCCACCUAUUUAAAGUGCCUACUACAACUUAAACUAUCGUGCUAUUAUCACAGUUUAAAGAUGCUUAGUUUUUUUACAAAGGAAAUAAUAGCUUUACAUUAUUGGAAGUUUGUUUCAUCCAUAU